CAGGGAUAACUGGCUUGUG
rnacentral:ncRNA from 2 species